rnacentral:rRNA from 1 species
CAGCCGCCGCGGUAAUACGAAGGGGGCUAGCGUUGCUCGGAAUUACUGGGCGUAAAGGGCGCGUAGGCGGCGUGAGUAGUCAGGCGUGAAAUUCCUGGGCUUAACCUGGGGGCUGCGCUUGAUACGCUUAUGCUAGAGGAUGGAAGAGGCUCGUGGAAUUCCCAGUGUAGAGGUGAAAUUCGUAGAUAUUGGGAAGAACACCGGUGGCGAAGGCGGCGAGCUGGUCCAUUACUGACGCUGAGGCGCGACAGCGUGGGGAGCAAACAGGAUUAGAUACCCUGGUAGUCCACGCCGUAAACGAUGUGCGCUGGAUGUUGGGGCCCCUAGGGCUUCAGUGUCGUAGCUAACGCGGUAAGCGCACCGCCUGGGGAGUACGGCCGCAAGGUUGAAACUUAAAGGAAUUGGCGGG